ensembl:lncRNA
GAUGGAGGAGAGGAGAGCGAUGUGUUGAUACAGGGGAGACAGAUGGACAUCUGUGGAUUAGGUGAAGGAGGGGUUGAGGUCAGGAGGAGAGGACAGCGAUGUGUUGAUACAGGGAGACAGAUGGACAUCUGUGGAUUAGGUGAAGGAGGGGUUGAGGUCAGGACAGAGAUGUGUUGAUACAUGGGGAGACAGAUGGACAUCUGUGGAUUAGGUGAAGGAGGGGUUGAGGUCAGGAGGUGAGGACAGAGAUGUGUUGAUACAUGGGGAGACAGAUGGACAUCUGUGGAUUAGGUGAAGGAGGGGUUGAGGUCAGGAGGUGAGGACAGAGAUGUGUUGAUACAUGGGGAGACAGAUGGACAUCUGUGGAUUAGGUGAAGGAGGGGUUGAGGAGAGCGAUGUGUUGAUACAGG